rnacentral:rRNA from 1 species
GAUGAACGCUGGCGGCGUGCCUAAUACAUGCAAGUCGAGCGAACAGACGAGGAGCUUGCUCCUCUGACGUUAGCGGCGGACGGGUGAGUAACACGUGGAUAACCUACCUAUAAGACUGGGAUAACUUCGGGAAACCGGAGCUAAUACCGGAUAACAUGUUGAACCGAAUGGUUCAACAGUGAAAGACGGUCUUGCUGUCACUUAUAGAUGGAUCCGCGCCGCAUUAGCUAGUUGGUAAGGUAACGGCUUACCAAGGCAACGAUGCGUAGCCGACCUGAGAGGGUGAUCGGCCACACUGGAACUGAGACACGGUCCAGACUCCUACGGGAGGCAGCAGUAGGGAAUCUUCCGCGAUGGGCGAAAGCCUGACGGAGCAACGCCGCGUGAGUGAAGAAGGUCUUCGGAUCGUAAAACUCUGUUAUUAGGGAAGAACAAAUGUGUAAGUAACUAUGCACGUCUUGACGGUACCUAAUCAGAAAGCCACGGCUAACUACGUG